UCAAAUGGACGGGCGCCGGCGAAAUGUCAAAAUCGAGGAACAAAAUCAAAUCAAUCCCGCCAUGGACGACAACGAAACUCCACUUCUUGAACCUGAUUUAACUAGAGACAUUUUCAAGCAGAUUUGGACCAGAAAAGCUCAAGAGCGUGAAGGAGUCGGAUUUCAAAACACCCACGCCAUAGACUCCGAGGUUGAAUCGGGAACGUCAAAGAAGAUUCGACCCACAUUCGCUAAUCCACAUGC